AAAGUGCAAACACAAAGGGAACUGCGUG
rnacentral:piRNA from 1 species